rnacentral:rRNA from 1 species
UAUUGGACAAUGGGGGAACCUGAUCCAGCCAUGCGCGUGGUGUGAAGAAGCUUUUGGUGUAAAGCACUUUAAGCAGUGAAGAAGACUCUCGGUUAAUACCCGGGGACGAUGACAUUAGCUGCAGAAUAAGCACCGGCUAACUCUGUGCCAGCAGCCGCGGUAAUACAGAGGGUGCAAGCGUUAAUCGGAAUUACUGGGCGUAAAGCGAGCGUAGGUGGCUUGAUAAGUCAGAUGUGAAAUCCCCGGGCUUAACCUGGGAACUGCAUCUGAAACUGUUAGGCUAGAGUAGGUGAGAGGGAAGUAGAAUUUCAGGUGUAGCGGUGAAAUGCGUAGAGAUCUGAAGGAAUACCGAUGGCGAAGGCAGCUUCCUGGCAUCAUACUGACACUGAGGCUCGAAAGCGUGGGUAGCAAACAGGAUUAGAUACCCUGGUAGUCCACGCCGUAAACGAUGUCUACUAGUCGUUGGGUCCCUUGAGGACUUAGUGACGCAGCUAACGCAAUAAGUAGACCGCCUGGGGAGUACGGCCGCAAGGUUAAAACUCAAAUGAAUUGACGGGGGCCCGCACAAGCGGUGGAGCAUGUGGUUUAAUUCGAUGCAACGCGAAGAACCUUACCUGGUCUUGACAUACACAGAAUCUUGUAGAGAUACGAGAGUGCCUUCGGGAAUUGUGAUACAGGUGCUGCAUGGCUGUCGUCAGCUCGUGUCGUGAGAUGUUGGGUUAAGUCCCGCAACGAGCGCAACCCUUGUCCUUAGUUACCAGCACUUCGGGUGGGAACUCUAAGGAUACUGCCAGUGACAAACUGGAGGAAGGCGGGGACGACGUCAAGUCAUCAUGGCCCUUACGACCAGGGCUACACACGUGCUACAAUGGUAGGUACAGAGGGCAGCUACACAGCGAUGUGAUGCGAAUCUCAAAAAGCCUAUCGUAGUCCAGAUUGGAGUCUGCAACUCGACUCCAUGAAGUAGGAAUCGCUAGUAAUCGCGGAUCAGAAUGCCGCGGUGAAUACGUUCCCGGGCCUUGUACACACCGCCCGU